rnacentral:lncRNA from 1 species
GUGGGGGAUUUGAUCAUGCAUUACGGUCCAUGGGGGGAGAUCUCGGUCGCUUUAGUCUGUUUUCUUGGGGUUUCCUUGGUGGUUUGAACUGGGGAUUCUUUUCACCGUUGAUAUUACUCUCAAGUCUCUGCAGUCUCCUGAGCUCUUGCUAUUUAUCAGUCAACAGAGCGCACAAGUUCUCAUCAUGAGAGAUAUGUUUACAGUUGAAGCAGUGUCUGUGGAGGCCAUCAUACGUUAAAGUAACUCGCCCUACAUCACCAUUAGGGAAACCAACUCUACUUU